AGAUGACAGGAGACUCCAGUUUGCUGGCUGCAGUCCUGACUGUGGUGUCGGUCAUAUCGCUGAGUCUGCUUUCCCUUCUGUGUUUGCGAUGCAAAAAGAAAUCCAAAAUCAUGCUGGAGUCUCAAAUAUAUGACCCACAAAUUUUCCAACGAGGCGGGAGUAAAUUUGCAGUUAUCCGUUCAAAAACAGUCACCAGAGGAAAUCUGAUCUCCUCAGACACAGAUGAGACUCUGGAGCAGUCUGCCUUCCAAGACGGUGAAACGGAGGAACAGGGCGACUAUCUGAACAUUACAGUACCAACAGUCAGCUCCAACCUGGAACAUGAUUAUGUAGCUCCAAUCGCUGUGGCUUUGUAUGAAAAUCAGAAGAACAGAACACUUGGUGGGUAUUUCGGCACGUUUUCUAGUCCUAACUUGGUUUGUUCCGGUUGUUUACAACAUGUGUUUGUUUUAGAUGAUGAACAAACUCCCGGCAUUUAUGGAAAUGUUUUCCUGUCGCUGUCAAUAGAAGAAGGUAGAUCCAGUUUUCUUAUUUCUGAUUUCUCAAUAAGAAAAGUUCUUAUUCAAAUAUUAAAACUUUAUUAA
rnacentral:lncRNA from 1 species